GUGCGGACUUAGUGCCGUCGUUGGUGCUAAUCAGCUGUUGGUUGUAUGGAAUUCUAGGACUGGNUCAUUGAAAUACCGGUCAGCGAUGCUACUGCUUUGGGUACUUUCAGGACCCGUCUUGAAACACGGACCAAGGAGUCUAACAUGUACGCGAGUCAUUGGGAUUUUUAUAAAUUAAACCUAAAGGCAUAAUGAAAGUAAAGGUCGUCCUUGUGUCGACUAAGGGAGGAUGGGCUAUGUUACGAUAUAGCUCCGCACUCCCGGGGCGUCUCAUUCUCAUUGCGAGAA
rnacentral:rRNA from 1 species